AUUGAACGCUGGCGGCAGGCCUAACACAUGCAAGUCGCACGAGUGGCGGACGGGUGAGUAAUGUCUGGGAAACUGCCUGAUGGAGGGGGAUAACUACUGGAAACGGUAGCUAAUACCGCAUACCAUCAGAUCUGCCCAUAUGGGAGUAGCUAGUUGGUGGGGUAAAGGCUCACCAAGGCGCCGAUCCCUCGCUGGUCUGAGAGGAUGACCAGCAACACUGGGAAUGAGACACGGUCCAGACUCCUACGGGAGGCAGCAGUGGGGAAUAUUGCACAAUGGGCGCAAGCCUGAUGCAGCCAUGCCGCGUGUAUGAAGAAGGCCUUCGGGUUGUAAAGUACGUUCAGCGGGGAGGCGUUACCCGCAGAAGAAGCACCGGCUAACUCCGUGCCAGCAGCCGCGGUAAUAC
rnacentral:rRNA from 1 species